GACGAACGCUGGCGGCGUGCUUAACACAUGCAAGUCGAACGGAAAGGCCCUGCUUUUGUGGGGUGCUCGAGUGGCGAACGGGUGAGUAACACGUGAGUAACCUGCCCUUGACUUUGGGAUAACUUCAGGAAACUGGGGCUAAUACCGGAUAGGAGCUCCUGCUGCAUGGUGGGGGUUGGAAAGUUUCGGCGGUUGGGGAUGGACUCGCGGCUUACCAGCUUGUCGGUGGGGUAGUGGCUUACCAAGGCUUUGACGGGUAGCCGGCCUGAGAGGGUGACCGGCCACAUUGGGACUGAGAUACGGCCCAGACUCCUACGGGAGGCAGCAGUGGGGAAUAUUGCACAAUGGGUGGAAGCCUGAUGCAGCAACGCCGCGUGUGGGAUGACGGCCUUCGGGUUGUAAACCGCUUUCGCCUGUGACGAAGCGUGAGUGACGGUAAUGGGUAAAGAAGCACCGGCUAACUACGUG
rnacentral:rRNA from 1 species